CGCAGGGGCGGGGUGCUAUAAUGCAGUCGAGCGGACCGACGGGAGCUUGCUCCCUUAGGUCAGCGGCGGACGGGUGAGUAACACGUGGGUAACCUGCCUGUAAGACUGGGAUAACUCCGGGAAACCGGGGCUAAUACCGGAUGCUUGAUUGAACCGCAUGGUUCAAUCCUAAAAGGGGGCUUUUAACUACCACUUACAGAUGGACCCGCGGCGCAUUAACUAAUUGGUGAAGUAACGGCUCCCCCAGGCGACCAAGCCUAACCCAACUGAAAGGGUGAUCGGCCCCCCUGGGACUGAAACACGGCCCAAACUCCUACGGGAGGCAGCAGUAAGGAAUCUUCCCCAAUGGACGAAAGUCUGACGGAACAACCCCCCGUGAGUGAUGAAGGUUUUCCGAUCCUAAAACUCUGUUGGUAGGGAAGAACAAGUACCGUUCCAAUAAGGCGGUACCUUGACGGUACCUAACCAGAAAGCCACGGCUAACUACCUGCCAACAGCCGCGGUAAUACCUAAGUGGCAAGCGUUGUCCGGAAUUAUUGGGCGUAAAGCGCGCGCAAGCGGUUUCCUAAGUCUGAUGUGAAAGCCCCCGGCUCAACCGGGGAGGGUCAUUGGAAACUGGGGAACUUGAGUGCAGAAGAGAGAGUGGAAUUCCACGUGUAGCGGUGAAAUGCGUAGAGAUGUGGAAGAACACCAGUGGCGAAGCGACUCUCUGGUCUGUACUGACGCUGAGCGCGAAGCGUGGGAGCGACAGAUUAGAUACCUGGUAGUCCACGCGUAAACGAUGAUGCUAGUGUAGAGGUUUCGUCCUUUAUGCUGCAGCAACGCAUAGCACUCGCUGGGGAGUACGUCGCAGACUGAACUCAAAGAUGACGGGCCGCACAGCUGUGAGCAUGUGUUAUCGAGCACGCGAGAUCUU
rnacentral:rRNA from 1 species